UACAGUGGAUUAUUGAUUUUAUUUUUCUAUAGGAGUAUACGACACCACGUGACUAUGUCUAGCUGACGAGGUCACCAAAACGUUUAUUAUUGUUGACCUAUCUUUGUACAAGGAAAAAAAAUCCGAGCUAUUUAAAGAAGGAUUUAUUGCGUUUAUUAGAGCGAUUGGCCGAUCGAUACCUGGCCAUUGGUCUCAAGCCACGAAUGCGCAUGUUAAAUAUUUGCCCGCCAUGCCGCAGGAGAAACAUUAAAAGGAACAGAUUUUUUGAGCAAUGAAAGUACACAACGCUUGAGGCUUAACUCCCUUCAGCACCCGUCGCCGAAAGGGAGAUAACUUUUUAUUCCCACCAGAAAAUUAAAAUACGCGAGGGUAAUUUAACGACGAGAUAUACUGUGAUACUGCCGAUAUACUUUUUGUUUACAAAGAAGUCGCAAAAACUUGCUGUAUUUAGAAAUAGAAACACCAGUGGAAUUUUUUAUUUAUUUCUGAGAUAUAGGUAAAGAAAAGAAACACAAAUAGGCCAAGAGAACCAACCAGCCUCAACUUACACAACGAUUUCAUGUGCCCAAGCACUGUGUAACGAUGACCACGCUUUAGAGAACGUAAGUGUCGGAAAUUUCACAUCUGCCAGAAUGUGAAAUGUCAAGCGGACCCCACACAACAAGUGUCGAGAAGGAAUACAACAAAAUGACCAAACACCUAAUAAAAUAAAAAGUCAUAAAGAGUUUCAAGAUGACCCCAUAUUUCAGAAUGUAAAUGUCAAGAUGACUCAACACGCAAGACAACAAGUGUCAAGAAAGUGACAAGGUGACCCUUAUACAAUAAAAUGGCUCCCGGAGUGUAAGCGGCAAAAUGAUCCCAUUUACGUUGAUCCACUACAUUUUGAUCGGAGUCAGCUGUUUCCUGUUGGUCUCCUUCAUAGCUGGACUAGUCUACCUGUUGUUCAGGGAAAAACAGAAAGGCGCUCAGGCAAGGAAGGAAUAUCUGAGAACGCUGCUACAAAGAAGACGGAAGGCGAUUAGCGGCAGGCCGCGAGGUCCGACCAGCUCUUUCUCCUACGACAGCACAGAAGAGUGGAACAUGCCCGGCGCGACCCAGCGGAAGCAGGAGCUAGUUCCAGUCUCGACCCAAAUCUCAGGACCCCAGACAGUCCAGCUCCCAGAAAAACCUUCGCCCCAAUUCUCAACGGACAUUUUAGACUUGCACAUUGUGCAUACUGCAGAAACACAACUGUCAGAUAAUUUGUAACAAUUUGUUAACAAUCUCAGAAAGAAUAGCCAAGAUGGAUACGCUGACUUCAGCUGGUAAAAGACAAGUUGUAGUUCAGAGAGAAUAGCUUGUUGAUCGCGUUAAUUUGUCGGUACUGCACCGUUGGUACUCUCGUAGUUGGUACUCUGGAGAAGUACCUCGAGUGAUCUUGAUGAAAGUACUUCCCAACUUUAGAAAGUGCUCUUAAAAGUAAGAAAUAUUUAUGUUUGCAAGCGCUUAGUGGUGUGCAUUGUACAUAGAUGAUAAUCGAUUUAUUUAAAGAAUCGAUAUGCCCAC